rnacentral:rRNA from 1 species
GGCCUUCGGGUGUAAAGCACUUUCAGUAGGGAGGAAGGUAGUGUAGUUAACACCUGCAUAUUUGACGUUACCUACAGAAGAAGCACCGGCUAACUCCGUGCCAGCAGCCGCGGUAAUACGGAGGGUGCGAGCGUUAAUCGGAAUUACUGGGCGUAAAGCGCAUGCAGGCGGCCUGUUAAGUCAGAUGUGAAAGCCCGGGGCUUAACCUCGGAAUUGCAUUUGAAACUGGCAGGCUAGAGUCUUGUAGAGGGGGGUAGGAAGUUUCUAGGUGUAGCGGUGAAAUGCGUAGAGAUCUGAAGGAAUACCAGUGGCGAAGGCGGCCCCCCUGGACAAAGACUGACGCUCAGAUGCGAAAGCGUGGGGAGCAAACAGGAUUAGAUACCCCUGGUAG